CUUUGGAAAUGUAUUCCAAGUGAGUAUAGGCUCAUGGUGUGUGAGGAAAAGAGGACCUCUCUUUGUUGUCAUGUUCCAUCCAAUAGGUAUUGUGAUUGCAAUGGCUGCCAGCAUAUUCUUGGGUGAAACUAUCCAUAUUGGAAGUUUGUUGGGAUCAAUCAUCAUUCUACUUGGGUUUUACUCAGUGAUAUGGGGAAAAGCUAAAGAAUGGAAAAUGGGAGAGAACAAUGGAUGGAAGAGCCUGGAAUCAAACAGCAACAACGUGCCUUUACUACAAAACAAAGUUGAUGAUCUAUCCAUGAUACAAAACCAUUGAAGACUCGCACUUUGUUAGUGGGCCUAAUGGAAGAUGGAAACAAAUUCAUAAAUAACCAUUCUUCGUCAUUUUGUAAUUGAAAAAUAACCAUGGUUAAAUUUUACUAGUGAAAUUCUAGAACAUUCUCAUAGAAUUUUUACUUUUGAAAUUCGAACCUUCAUGUUAGUAGUUAUUUUAUUGCAUGGCUGCAAAGUGGCUAGUCCAUACUAUUACUAUA